AACGAACGCUGGCGGCAGGCUUAACACAUGCAAGUCGAGCGCCCCGCAAGGGGAGCGGCAGACGGGUGAGUAACGCGUGGGAACGUACCUUUUGGUUCGGAACAACUCCGGGAAACUGGAGCUAAUACCGGAUAAGCCCUAACGGGGAAAGAUUUAUCGCCGAAAGAUCGGCCCGCGUCUGAUUAGCUAGUUGGUGAGGUAACGGCUCACCAAGGCGACGAUCAGUAGCUGGUCUGAGAGGAUGAUCAGCCGCACUGGGACUGAGACACGGCCCAGACUCCUACGGGAGGCAGCAGUGGGGAAUAUUGGACAAUGGGCGCAAGCCUGAUCCAGCCAUGCCGCGUGAGUGAUGAAGGCCUUAGGGUUGUAAAGCUCUUUUGUCCGGGAAGAUAAUGACUGUACCGGAAGAAUAAGCCCCGGCUAACUUCGUG
rnacentral:rRNA from 1 species